rnacentral:rRNA from 1 species
GAGUUUGAUCCUGGCUCAGAUUGAACGCUGGCGGUAUGCUUAACACAUGCAAGUCGAACGGAAACGAUACUAGCUUGCUAGUAGGCGUCGAGUGGCGGACGGGUGAGUAACGCGUAGGAAUCUGCCUGAUAGUGGGGGAUAGCCCGAAGAAAUUCGGAUUAAUACCGCAUAAUCUAUUCGUAGUAAAGUGGGGGACUUUCGAGCCUCACGCUAUCAGAUGAGCCUGCGUAAGAUUAGCUUGUUGGUAGGGUAAAAGCCUACCAAGGCGACGAUCUUUAGCUGGUCUGAGAGGAUGAUCAGCCACAUCGGGACUGAGACACGGCCCGAACUCCUACGGGAGGCAGCAGUGGGGAAUAUUGGACAAUGGGGGCAACCCUGAUCCAGCAAUACCGCGUGUGUGAAGAAGGCCUGAGGGUUGUAAAGCACUUUCAAUUGUGAAGAAAAGUUAGCGGUUAAUAACCGUUAGCCUUGACGUUAACUUUAGAAGAAGCACCGGCUAACUCCGUGCCAGCAGCCGCGGUAAUACGGAGGGUGCAAGCGUUAAUCGGAAUUACUGGGCGUAAAGCGUGCGUAGGCGGUUUAUUAAGUCAGAUGUGAAAGCCCCGGGCUUAACCUGGGAACUGCAUUUGAAACUGGUCAACUAGAGUAUGGUAGAGGAAAGUGGAAUUUCUGGUGUAGCGGUGAAAUGCGUAGAUAUCAGAAGGAACAUCAAUGGCGAAGGCAGCUUUCUGGACCAAUACUGACGCUGAGGUACGAAAGCGUGGGUAGCAAACAGGAUUAGAUACCCUGGUAGUCCACGCCGUAAACGAUGAUAACUAGCCGUUGGGGGGAUUUACCCUUUAGUGGCGAAGCUAACGCGUUAAGUUAUCCGCCUGGGGAGUACGGCCGCAAGGUUAAAACUCAAAGGAAUUGACGGGGACCCGCACAAGCGGUGGAGCAUGUGGUUUAAUUCGAUGCAACGCGAAGAACCUUACCUGGUCUUGACAUCCUGCGAACUUUCUAGAAAUAGAUUGGUGCCUUCGGGAACGCAGUGACAGGUGCUGCAUGGCUGUCGUCAGCUCGUGUCGUGAGAUGUUGGGUUAAGUCCCGUAACGAGCGCAACCCCUAUCCUUAUUUGCCAGCACGUCAUGGUGGGAACUAUAAGGAGACUGCCGGUGAUAAACCGGAGGAAGGCGGGGACGACGUCAAGUCAUCAUGGCCCUUACGACCAGGGCUACACACGUGCUACAAUGGGAAGGACAAAGAGCCGCGAAGCCGCGAGGUGUAGCUAAUCUCAUAAACCUUUUCGUAGUCCGGAUUGGAGUCUGCAACUCGACUCCAUGAAGUCGGAAUCGCUAGUAAUCGUAGAUCAGAAUGCUACGGUGAAUACGUUCCCGGGUCUUGCACACACCGCCCGUC